UCUUGGGUUGUAAACCCCUUUUCUCUGGGAAGAACACAAUGACGGUACCAGAGGAAUCAGCAUCGGCUAACUCCGUGCCAGCAGCCGCGGUAAGACGGAGGAUGCAAGCGUUAUCCGGAAUGAUUGGGCGUAAAGCGUCCGCAGGUGGCAGUUCAAGUCUGCUGUCAAAGACCGGGGCUUAACCUCGGAAAGGCAGUGGAAACUGAACAGCUAGAGUAUGGUAGGGGCAAAGGGAAUUCCUGGUGUAGCGGUGAAAUGCGUAGAGAUCAGGAAGAACAUCGGUGGCGAAGGCGCUUUGGC
rnacentral:rRNA from 1 species